rnacentral:lncRNA from 1 species
UACACCGAGCGCUGACCUGUGUUUGGAGUGGAAAGCAUUUAAUAUUUUUAGCUGUUACCACCCCACUGCACGAAUAUUAUAUUCGGCCAGAUUUUCAAUAUUAAUGCAUGCCGGCUUUAUCAGGAUUCAAAAAAACAAUACUAUUGCUCGUUCACAUGUUUCAAUUCGAACGUUGAGACUCAGAGAGAGCCCGAAGGUCAUCGGCCAAGUACAAAUAAAUAUAUCACCGAAACAAAAACUAACAGCGUGGCCUAGUGGUUGAGUUCUUUCUUUUUAAACUUAUUAAAGGUUGUGAGAUCAAACCCUAGCUAUAGCACGCUCCUUCUCCUUUUCUUCUAUACUAUUCUUUUACCAACUCCUAAUAUAAAUUUAUAUUUUAAUCUUAAUUACAUAAAAAAUAAUAAUAAUCUAUUUUUGUGGUGUUGGUCCCACAAAUUUACUAUAUGAACCUAAUGUUUCGCGGUGCUUCUCCCCUUUUCUUUUUUUUUUCCUUUUUUUCCUGUUUUCUAACCGGCUCCUAAUAUGAGUUUAUUAUUUUACCCUUAUAUUACAUAAACAAAUAAUAAGAAUCUAUUUUUAUGAUGUUUGGUCCCACCUAUUUAGUAUGAACCUCGUGUCUCUCCUCUCGGUGCUGCUUCUCCCCUUGUUGGCAACGAAGAAUGAGAAACAAUAAUAGAUUGGAACAGUAAGGUAAUAAAGGAUAAAAGAUAGAUGUAAUGGUGCUAAAACUUUUAUCACAAAUCAAGCAUCAUAUUAAAUAGGCUACCAUAAAAUUUUCAUAAUAAUUGGAGCAGAUAACUACAAUUUCAAUUUUACACUAAAAAGCAUAGGCAAGCAUCUCCAGAAAAAAAUAUACUAAAUUUAUGAUAUUUUUUGUUUACUGCAUGGAUCUACAUAUGUGGAGCUGAACAAAAUUUGUUUUGUAAUUUUUAGAUUUUUCUAUGAAUUACUACACAUUUAUCAAUUUUCAACCGAUCAAUUUUACACUAAAAAGCAUAGGCAAGCAUCUUCAGCAAAAAAAUAUAAUAAAAUUUAUGAUAUUUUUUAUUUACUGCAUGGAUCUAUAUAUCUGGAGCUGAACAAAAUUUGUUUUAUAAUUUACUAUGCAUUUAUUAAUUUUCAACCGAUUUAAAGAAUAAAAGAAAAGUAAACUAAUAGGACAAACACUUUGCACCUUUUUUUAGAUAAAGGAUAAUUUAUAUCCGGCUUCAUCUAUCGUCUGAUAGAACCAGGCCAAUUAUUAUAGAAUUCAGCCCGUAGGCUAGUGUUCCAACUUAUAGC